AUGGAGCUCGAGUAUGACGCUCUCCUCCUGUGGCGUGAUCUUGCCUCUCUUGAGGUCAGGCCGCAGGUAAUUCACCCACCGAAGCCUGCAGCUCUUCCCGCCUUGGCGACAGAAUUCCACCUCCCAUCUCCCUGCUGCCGAACAUAG
rnacentral:rRNA from 1 species